UACGUAGGGGGCAAGCGUUGUCCGGAAUCAUUGGGCGUAAAGCGCGUGUAGGCGGCUCGGUAAGUCUGUUCUGAAAGUCCAAGGCUCAACCUUGGGAUGCGGAUGGAUACUGCCGAGCUCGAGUCCGGAAGAGGCGAGUGGAAUUCCUGGUGUAGCGGUGAAAUGCGCAGAUAUCAGGAGGAACACCAAUGGCGAAGGCGGCUCGCUGGGACGUGACUGACGCUGAGACGCGAAAGCGUGGGGAGCAAACAGG
rnacentral:rRNA from 1 species